AUGGUGACUAACUGUCCUGAUUUGCCUGGGACUGAGGAGUUUCCCAGGACAUGGGAGUGUGAGUGCUA
rnacentral:miRNA from 1 species